GGAGGGUGCAAGCGUUGUUCGGAAUUACUGGGCGUAAAGCGCGUGUAGGCGGCCUUGCAAGCCAGACGUGAAAGCCCUCGGCUUAACCGGGGAAGUGCGUCUGGAACUGCUCGGCUCGAGUACGGGAGAGGGAGGCGGAAUUCCCAGUGUAGAGGUGAAAUUCGUAGAUAUUGGGAGGAACACCGGUGGCGAAAGCGGCCUCCUGGACCGAUACUGACGCUGAGACGCGAAAGCGUGGGGAGCAAACAGGAUUAGAUACCCUGGUAGUCCACGCUGUAAACGAUGGGCACUAGGUGUGGGGGGUAUCCACUCCUCCCGUGCCGCAGCUAACGCAUUAAGUGCCCCGCCUGGGGAGUACGGCCGCAAGGUUA
rnacentral:rRNA from 1 species